rnacentral:misc_RNA from 1 species
UCUCCGUUGGUGAACCAGCGGAGGGAUCAUUACUGGAAUCGCAAGAUCCCACAACCCUGUGAACCUACCGAAACGUUGCCUCGGCGGGUGCCCGGCCCCCGCGCCGGGCGCUGCGCCCGCCGGCGGCCCCCUACUCUGUCCCUGCAGCGUGGCAUCUCAGAGUCCCAGAAAACAAGUCAAAACUUUCAACAACGGAUCUCUUGGCUCUA